rnacentral:rRNA from 1 species
UUGACGGGGGCCCGCACAAGCGGUGGAGCAUGUGGUUUAAUUCGAUGAUACGCGAGGAACCUUACCUGGGCUCAAAUGUAUGUUGACGUAUUCUGAAAGGGAUACUUCUUCGGACAAUAUACAAGGUGCUGCAUGGUUGUCGUCAGCUCGUGCCGUGAGGUGUCGGGUUAAGUCCCAUAACGAGCGCAACCCCUAUCAUUAGUUGCCAUCAGGUCGAGCUGGGGACUCUAAUGAAACUGCCUACGCAAGUAGUGAGGAAGGUGGGGAUGACGUCAAAUCAGCACGGCCCUUACGUCCAGGGCUACACACGUGCUACAAUGGCCGGUACAAAGGGCAGCUACCUGGUGACAGGAUGCUAAUCUCAAAAGCCGGUCUCAGUUCGGAUCGGAGUCUGCAACCCGACUCCGUGGAGCUGGAAUCGCUAGUAAUCGCGCAUCAGCCAUGGCGCGGUGAAUACGUUCCCGGGCCUU